rnacentral:pre_miRNA from 1 species
UUCAUGGUAUCAUAACCUGCUUCACUUAGUGGUCUUGUGUUCAAAUACUGCUCAAGCACAUGGUGAACCAGGCUCUGAUACCAUGAAGC